UACGGGGGGGGCAAGCGUUGUUCGGAAUUACUGGGCGUAAAGGGCUCGUAGGCGGCCAACUAAGUCGGAUGUGAAAUCCCCAGGCUCAACCUGGGAACUGCAUUUGUGACUGCAAGGCUAGAGUACGGUAGAGGGGGAUGGAAUUCCGCGUGUAGCAGUGAAAUGCGUAGAUAUGCGGAGGAACACCGAUGGCGAAGGCAAUCCCCUGGACCUGUACUGACGCUCAUGCACGAAAGCGUGGGGAGCAAACAGG
rnacentral:rRNA from 1 species